rnacentral:rRNA from 1 species
UACAGAGGUGGCAAGCGUUGUUCGGAUUCAUUGGGCGUAAAGGGUGCGUAGGUGGCGCUGUAAGUCGGGUGUGAAAUUUCGGAGCUUAACUCCGAAACUGCAUUCGAUACUGCGGUGCUUGAGGACUGGAGAGGAGACUGGAAUUCAUGGUGUAGCAGUGAAAUGCGUAGAGAUCAUGAGGAAGACCAGUGGCGAAGGCGAAUCUCUGGACAGUUACUGACACUGGAGGCACGAAAGGCCCAGGG